AGGAAGAAGUCAUUGUCUUUUAACCAAAACGGUGUGUUAAUUCAAAAGGAGUUUUGUUUUUUUCAUUACUUGGGAACAGCUCUAUACACUGACACGGUUCCAAAUGCAUUAUUCAUUUUGUUUAAAAAUUUACAACCUGCGCCUCAAUAAUGCAUCCAACAGGAGGACAUAAAUUCACUCUAGGCCAAGCACUAAAAACCGGAUCGGGGCGUCUUUCUUCCUCCACCCUCUGCAACCGACACGUUCCAGGAUCCGAGCAGAGCAAGCCAGGAGGGACCGUCUCUCCCCCACCCCCGAGAGCACUGGCUGCCCCAGGUUUCCGUGUUUCACGAUCAGUGUGGCAGACGCAACACGGCCAGGGCUUCAUUCUGCCGAGCGGAAGCUGGCCAAGCGGUCGCAAGGGGAUGGGCAUAGACGGUCACGUGCCCGCAGGGAUCGGACAGGAGGAGGGUAGUCCGGGAAAAGAAAUGCACACAGAUGGCUCUUUUCUUCCUUAUAGACGUGUGUAAGGCUCAUCUCAAACCUGCCCUUUCCUCCAAGGCCCCAGCUCCCAGGUCUUGUAAAAUCCAACCGUUCAAAUAUUCCGAACUGUUAGGAGUCGCUUCGUAAAAUACGGGGUUGAAGAGCUCAGUCGCCUUCCCAGCCCCACUAGCCCGGGCCGACUCUGAAAGGGGCCAGCGUGGCCCUGGACAUGCUCGGCUGCCCACUCCGCCGGCUCACCUUCCCCGAGACCACUCCGUCCAGAAGGAACCAGAGCCGUGAGGGCAAAGCGGGUGUGGCGGGGGAGACGGAGGUGGGUGGGAGCUGUGGGUACCGCUCUGCCUUCCGGCCUCCAUCCUGUCCCAGGCGGGGUAUUAUUCCAGGAUGGGCAGAGGAAAGGCCUGGAGGAAUGCUGAGCCACAAAGCCUGGCUCGUCCUGGUUUUUGUCAUUUGAGACGCUCCUGGUUUCGUUUCCACGGUUCAGCACAGACCGUUUAGCGCACGCAGACAUUUUUAUGGUUGAAUUCCUUGUGGCAAAGACUGGGCACAUAUUUCUCUGAGAGUGACGUUUCUCCUUUUAGGUGGGCCUGUGCCAUCCUACAUCCCCAGAGCCAAGGGUGCACGCUUUCCAGCGGGCCUGGCACAGUGUGGCUCAAGGACCAUCUGGUUUGGAGUCCGAGAGCCAGGAACGCAGCUCUGGCCAGGAUGGCAGGUGCUGUGGCCGCCGCGGGCCCAGGCGCACGCUGCCUGCGGGAGCCCCAGGGAGGGUGUGUGGCCCGCUGGCGAGGGUUUGGGGGUCAAGGGGCCAAGUGCACAGGCAGAUGGAGCAGGAGGGAAGGGCCUGUGUGUCCGAGCUCUCCUUCUUUUAAAAGAGAAGCCAGAUUUAAGUCUUUAGGUGAAAUUUCAUAGUUUAAAAAUAUUAACCAACCCACAGGCCUGCGGGUCAAAGUCCUAGCUCACCCUGAGCCCGGCCGCCCCUCACCAGAUGGGACCCGAGGCCACGCGACCGUAGAAUGACCUGUCCCAGGCUCCUGCAGGCCUAGGAGGUGAGGCCGGGACUAGAAUUCCGAUUUCUCCCCGAAUAGCAGCAACUCUUUCUGCGGUGCUGGCUGAUAAUUACCCUUUGAAACUAUCAUUUCUUCACAGGAGGAGGGGCCUGCUACCUGAUAGUUCAGUGGCAGGGCUAGACCAUUGUCCUGGCCUCUCAGGGUCCCUAAGACUUAUAUAAACCCACGAUACUUCCAUAACAUUCAAAUUUAAAAAGCUUUAAAUAUAAAAAAUUUUAAAAGAGAGAGGUUACGUGACACAUAUAGUCACGUAUUGUGUAAGAUCUGACUACAACCUCCUGUUGGCAAUGAGAACAAGCACAUGCGGUGACUGCUGGCCACGGGGGGGAGCAGAGAAAAGCCCCAAAGAUUCCAGCCCCCAGCCUCGUUUAUCUGCGCUGUCACCCCAGGCCCACGGGAGUUUGCAGUGGUAGAAAGACGGGAAGAUGGAAGAUUGUGUCGCUGAAACUCAAGGCAGAGAUAGCAGUGGCCUCAACACACCCUCGGAUAAGGAGGUCCGGAUUCUGGGCGGACACAGGUGGACAGUCCUCGUCCUUGUUAUGGGGAAUGUCUGGUCCAAGAGGAGACACACACACAGGUCUGCGCGGGUGAGGGAUGUGGUGAGUUCUGCCACAGGUCAGGCAUGGAAUAUUCUAGAACUCAGAAGAGGGACGUUUUGGGCAGCGUCCUGGAGGAGAUGCAGGUGUACAGACCAGUGGAGAAGGAAAAGAAACCAGCUAGGAGAGUAAGCAGAAUGUGAUGAGGGGCGUGGAGCUGUGUGUGGGCUGCGAGGGCUCAGGGUGGGUGGGCGAGGAGGAGAGGCUGGAGCCUGGCCCGGGGGCCGGGAGCGUUCUCAGCUCCUGGAAUGGGGCCUGGAUCCCAGGGGCACCUGCAGGGAUGGAUUAGAGGGGAGCUGACUGGAGGGGCCUCCUAGACCAGGCGAAUGAGCAGGGGGCUCCCGGAGGGCCAGCUACGUGGGAAGGAGCAGGGCUGGGGACAGAUCCCUUGGGGCUCACCCAGGGAGAGGGGUCGCCGCUCUGAGGGGAGGCUGUUGGGAGGAGACCCCGUGCCCUGACGAGCUCUGCCCCGGAGCCAACAGUGCCCGGCUCAGCUUCGCUUUCUGUGAUCCUGCUCGGAAGCCACACUUGCCGUCUGGCGCUGCCCUGCACGCGGGCAUUGAGCACCUACAGGUGAGCAGCAGGUGGCCGGUUCCAGGCACUGAGGAAGGAAAGAAGGUUCCAGCAGACGCCUCAGGUGGCAGAGCUGAAAGGCCCGGCCCGGUCAGCGUUCAUUGUUGCUGCCUCUGUUUCUGCCGCCCAGCACCCUUCCCCAGGAGGCCGGGUGGGGCCCUCAGCCCGUCCCCAUGCGUGCGGACCACGGAGCCCCUGCCUCCACGGGAAGCAGGCUGCGUGCUCCUUCCGUGCCCUCUGACUGGAACCCACGAAGCAGCACCUCACACAAAGGCCCCACCACAGGGCUUUGGCCCUGCGGGCAGCAGGGCUGCAUGGUGAGGUGGGCAGGGCUGGAGGGUCCAGUCAGGGGGCUGCAGGUGGGGGCAGGGAGCCGAGCAGUGGGGGACCAGGCCUGGGAGCCUGGCGGCUGCUGGCAGUGUCACAAGCACAGACAUCCUGCGGGCAGGUGGCGAGGGCUCAGCGGGCAGAGAAUGUGGGGAGCCUCUUCAUAGGAACCUGCUGCCGGGGGCUGCCCCCCGCCACGGCCCCCGGAGCUCCCGGCCGUCAGCGACGGGCACCAGGGUCCUGUCGAUUAGGAGCUUGGCUCCUAACCCCAUGGCUUGGAUGUGGGAAUGCCGGUCUGCCUCUUCCUGGCUCGGGAACCCAGGCCUUAACUUUCCUAAGCCUCGGUUUAUCCCCCCGAAAAUGGUCUUCGGUCAGUCCGUGGGGCUGGCCUGAGGAUUCCGUGGCCCUGGGAAUCCUGGGAAGCUCCCGGCCCUGGGGAGGGUCUGCCACCCAGAACGGACCUGGACUCCGUCUUGGCUCCCCUCCGUCACCCCCGCUGGGAACUUUCUCUCACUGGGUUCCCGGGACUCAGCACGGUAACCGGUACCCGGCAGGAGCUGAUUAAAGCAGGAGCAGGAGUGAACCACUGGACCAAGCGCUGUGGUUACUGAUGGCGAAGCGCAGCGCUGGGAGGGCAGGGGCCUCGGCGCCCGCAGCCGGGGCGUCCUGUUCCUGCCCGCUCCAGGAUGCAGGCUGGGUGCUGGUUUGGGAGCCGGCGCAUGUCAGACCCUCAGCAUCCGGGUUCAGGUGGGAGUCUGGGCACUACCUCCUCUGUUCCCUUCUCAGAGCCGGGCGUCUAGAAGGCAUGUCCCCAGUAGGGCUGCUCAGAGCUUCCCAGGCUGCAUGCUGAACACAGGGCCCCACCCAGGCAGCAGCCGGGCGCCCGGCACGCCCUUGGCUCGGGCCCCCAGUCUGAGGCUGCCUGGGGAGCCUUUGCAAACACUGCCAUUAAACCCAAAUCGCCCAGGGGCACCGAGAGUUCAGGGGCCGGGGCUCUGGGAGGUCGGGUGUUGCGGCUGAGGGCAGGCUGAGCGUGGGGGUUAAGGGCCCUUCCCUCCGGGGUAAUGGCACGUCCUGCAGGAAGUUGCACAAGGUCCAGUCUGGGUCCAAAGACACGAAGUUCAGAGACUGAAAACCGUGGGCUGCAUGUCGUCUCUUAGGGGUGAAUUUAGGCCACUGUUCAAAAUGAAAUGUUUGGUCAGAGAGCCCACACUUGUGCAAACACUGAGACAAGGGCAGGGCCCACUGGGAAUUGGCCAAGGCCGGGAGGGGCUGAACUCGCAGCGCUUUGAAGACGUGCCCGCCUGCGGUCUGCAGACCAAACGCUGCUGGGGUCUGGGUCCAAGGCCCGGGGUCUCUGAGGACGCACCUCCUUCCCAGCCCAUCCCUGUGCCCUCCGGGAGUGCCCUCCCUCGAGCGUCAGUGCCCAGGGAAGGAUGGCUCCCCAGGCCUCCCCAGUCGGGUGACACCUUGGGGGGGCUGUCGGCACAGGUGACACAGGCAGCACAGGGGAAAAGGCUCUUCCGUCUUCCUGAAGUAGCUCUGGUGCCAACGGAGCCCAGCGGGCGCAUGUGACCUGGGACCGCAGGUGAGGCCGGGGGCCCCCAGGGAGGGAGGGUGUGUCCUGUGUGUCACCUGUGAGCGCAGGUCCGUUCCUUCCCUCUAACUCACUUCGUGAGGCCUCGCCUGGCCAGGGAUGUCAGGCCGUGCGCGUUGUGCCAGCUGGACGGCCGCACAGAAACCAGACCGAAACUGCCAUGAGCCACCUGCAGGCGCACUCCUUCCCUGCCACACUGUCAGGAGCCCGCAGACGGCCAAGGACGUUUAAACGCCUUAACUCGUCACAUGAUGACACCGGGCCGACAGGCAGAGCUGGUUUGUGGCAGCCCGGGGAGUGUCUCCGUGUCCCAACACUGUCCCCAGGCUUCUGGCCGCCUCCUUCCUUGUCUUCUGAACAGGAUUGAAUUCCUUCUCCUCUGGCCAGGACGGCACGGGAGCUGUUGAGAGCGGGAGCAGGUGGAAGAAAGCCCUGACUUAGCCUCGGGCCCGGCACCUGGGACCCUGGCACAAACCCCACCAGGCGUCCAGCCCCUCCCGGGCGCCGCCCCACCUGGUCCCUGGGGAGAGUUUCCUGAAACGCGCCGCGCAGCUCCCGUCUUGACGGCCUCCCAGCCAAGCUGCCGGGUCACUUGGAGGUGGUCCAGCAUCUUUUCUCCUUUGAGCCAAAGGACACCCUGUUUAAGAAUAAACCUCCUUGUACAGAGGCAGAGUUGUUAACUAGUCCUGAACUAACUGAUCGGGGUGCUUCAAGGAUUCGUCCGAGAGAAUGCCUCGUUUGGAACCAACGCGUCCAGGGACAGUGCUGUUGUUCACACAACAACAUACUGGGGAGGGCACUGCCCCUCGUCCUCACGGGACUGUGCCAGGCUUGUUCCCUGGCCCCCGGCAGCCAGGGAUCACAUCUACCUAAACAGGUGCCCGAGGCCAUGCUGGCCACGUGCAGGGGGAGAGGGAUGGGCCAGGGUCCUGACUUCCGGUCCCCUCCGUCCCCAAACUCACCAGAGCUGACCGCCACCCCCAGGCUCUCAGCUCUGCUCCUGGGGGUCCCGCCCGCGCCCCCCGCCCCACCAGGACAGCGGGCCUUGCCCCUCAUGCUUGGUCCUGAGGCAGGUCCUCGGGGGCGGAAGUCAGAUGCCAUGUCACUGGAAGACUUUUCAUGUCACUAAACUCUCACAUCAGAAACGAGAGGUUCUUGGUGAGGCCCCGGGUCCCAGCUUUUUAAGGAGCCUGUACCAUCACCACGUUAGCGCCUCUCGAUUGGACCUGCUGUCCUGCCUCCUGUUGGAGGGACUGGAUUUUACAGACGCCCGUCUGAGGUUCUCGAUUAGUUCCUAAGCCUUUCAAACCAGGGGCUGCCUCACCCCUGCUUCCCCCCCCCCCCCCCCGCCGCCCCGGCUUGUCCCUCCCGCGCUGAUUCAGGAGUGAAGGAGUGGGGGGGCGGGUUUCUGGGACCCUUGAGUAUUUGCACAGUUUUCUCUAGAUCAGAGUUCAGGAAGCAGGAUUACUGAUGCUAACGGCCCCCUUCUCUCGCUUCUUCUCUCCCUGCUGUGAAAGGCUGGCCCUGGUCUAAAUCCCAGCGCUGACAUGCAAGAGCCACGUCAGGUCAAUGACUUGGCUUCCUGAAACCCGCUUCCCCCCACUUCCUGCCUCUGUCUGU